GCUGCUUUUCUUUGAAAUCCCCUUAUUGAGGAGCCCGUCGUUCCCGCCUUUUCAGGUUCAAGAAUGAUGGGCCUUUUCUU
rnacentral:sRNA from 1 species